rnacentral:misc_RNA from 1 species
GAUCCAAAGAGGGUGGCUUAAAUCUUUGAACUUCAUAUGUUUCACCUUGAUGGGCCUCCUCUGGUUCAAUAGUGCAUUUAUUUGAAGUGAAUAGAUCGAACCAGGUAAAACAUUCUUUGGCAAUAAUGAAAGUUUAGGAUUGAAAGUGAUGAAGGCGUGGGGAGAUCCCGGAACUAGAUUCUGUAUUUGAGAUUAGGCAGAGAGAUGUGGUUUCAAGCUUCUUGUUCAUUUUCAGCUUGUGUUUUUGUGUUUCCCCACACUCACAGGAAUGUCUGUGGUACAAUGUAUUUGAACAUAGUUAAUAAAGAUGAUGUUAGUGAUGUUUAUUGCUACGUUGCACUACCAGACCGUUCUUCGCCUGUAGUUGUCCAAUGGCGCUAAGAUUUGUAACCCUGGAAUUUGAAGCAGUAGUGGGCGACUAGGCAUCUCAAUUUAAGCUUUGUUGUCUAUAGCAAAUAUCUAAGGUUCAGA